GGGCCCGUAGCUCAGGUGGUUAGAGCGCAGCCCUGAUAAGGCUGAGGUCCGUGGUUCGAGUCCACGCGGGCCCACCA
rnacentral:tRNA from 1 species